GUUUUUGACAACUUGAAGAAAAAUUUGCAGAGAGUAGCAACUCCCACAUAUUUUUGUGUGUUGGCCACUGGUGCUGUUUGUGUCCGUUUCCAGACAAAAAUCUGGCUAUUUGUAGAGCAUUCCUGCAAGCAAGAGGACCAUUUUUCACUGGCAUCCCACCUUCCCAGAGGGUUUUGUUCCUCGGCUUGGACUCUUCUGUGCCUGUCAUGUUCUGUUUCUCAGCAGAACUUGAUAAAGCCAAAUAACUCCUGUUUUUCAACUCCAAAGCUAAGCAAGAUUGUGGAGUCAGUAUUUGUCUGGCAUAUAUGUACACCUUUGUUCAAAAACUGGCUUGCUUUCACUGUCCUGUGUGCCUUCGAGCAAUGUGAGGUCCCAUUCCUGUGCCUCCAGGAGCCAUUCCCUAGGAAAGCCCUCCUUCCUUCAGAUUAUGCUAACUCCAUAUGCAGACUCAGUGAAGUAAGUAAUGCUGGACUGUGAGAAUGCUGGACUUUGAGAGUGAAAGGACUGCUAUCUAGAAUGUGAUAAGAGAGACUGUUUGUCUAGUAAGAAGUGAUCCUACCAUGAGAGCCUUGAUGCUGAGGGACUUACAGCAUUUAUUCAGAACUCCAUAAAAGGGGAGGGAAGGAAACAAGGGGAAGAAGAGAAAGAAACGAGAUUAGUAAUUAUGUCCAGUGUUUGUUACACCAGUAGCCCUGCUCUUAGAUUGCAAAUCUCAAAAUGGGACAGUUAUACCUGCAAACAUUUGUUUUGCAUCUAUGUGAAACCGACUCAGUCUGAAGGUCAGUUAAUGUUCUGCAAGUUAGAACUCUGCUGAGAAAUGCUUAUCUCUGUGUCCUAGGAAGCCAUAUGCUCUCUGAAUUUUAUGUUCUUUAUUCCUUGCCAGUGUUAUCUGCUGCAGGGAUUUUUAAACUGAAUUAAAGCACAAGCAUCAGUUGAAAUUCCUCUGAUAAAAUAAGUAUUUCAGAUCUGACUCUAGACUAAGUGUAAAGUAAUGGAGUAAUGGAGUUUCAUAGGAGGGGAGAGGGGAAAAGGGGCUGGUGUGCUGCUUGAGCUCUGGAAUGAAUUACCACGAACCAUUUGGUUGGGGAGGACAGAAAGGUUUGCGUCUUUCCAGGAACCAGUUAUAACACCGCAUUCUUAUUGACUGCUCUGUGUAGACUGAACAGAGCUGAGAGAAGACUGUUCCCCAGGCCAGCCCUCUUAGAAUAAAAAGAAGGGCAUUGUUAAGAUUUCUGGCACUGUGGUGGAUUUAAAUGUGACUGCUGGCCCAACACAAGCCCUGGCAGCAAAGCCUUGGGUGCCUUUUGAGGGGCACUGGGUUCCCACAGGUGGUCAGCUGGUGUGGGGGGGUUCCAGGGCUGCCCAGAGCAGGUCCCAACCACGGGCUAUGCUCUCUGUGGGCUGGAAGGCCCCACCUGGUGCUGGAGACAUACCUUCAGGUGUGAAAGCUCUUUGGGGUGAGGAUGGCCCUCUGUUGUGUGAGGGAUCCCUGGCUCUUUCCUUACUGUGCUGGUCCCUAGCUGUGUGCCAGGGACACCUCGCUGGGACCAGGGCACCUUCUCAAUCCAACGCAAUUUGCCUGUCUCAUUUUGCAGGUUCUGCUUCUCAAUCCUGGGUGUGAAAGUAAUGCAGCACCACUGCGGCUCACCAAUUACACUGCCAUGGACUUAAGUGUAAAAUCAGAACAAGGAUGAUAAAAAUUCAGUNGUCUUUGUCCUUUGCAAGAAACUAUGCACCUUCUGCCCUUCUUUCCUGCAUCCCUCCCUGGCCCAGGAGGAGUUCACAAUAACAUAGCUGCUGUUGCCCCAAGCAAAUAUACUCUGGCUGCUAAUUUGUGGCUGUGCCUGUGUGCCGGAGGCUGUCAAUCCCAGUUAAGGUCAGAGCCCUACAGUGGUGGCAUGCUGUACAAACAUGCAAUGAGAGAGGCUAAACAAAUAAAAAGUGGGAAGGAAAAUGGAGGCUGAUAGUGAUUUGCUUUGCUCUUUCCUUCAAAAGAAACAGCUGCAAUGCUGUUAGUUGCUCUGGAAUGCCCAAUAUCGGCCACAGGACUUCCUAGCACUGCUGCCUAUUUCAGCCCAUACUUAUAUGGCAGAAUAGUUUACAUUCUUUACCACUCGUGUUUCCUGCUCUUGGGAGCUCUCCCAGCCCAUAUGACAUUGGCCACCUUUGCCUGUGAGGCUUUUUUGAUGCUGGCUUUAUUAAAUCUAAUUUGGUGUACAUAAGUGUACCGGCUUCAGUUUUGCACUCAGAUGCUACUUAUCUAACAGGCAUUAACUAAAAGGUACUUCUUGCUGAAUAUACCAAGCAAUUGCAGCUCCAGCUGGCUUAGAUGGGAAUGAAAGGUCACCAGCAUCCUCAAAACACCUGAAGGAUAGGAUUUUUUUGUUGCUAUGAGCAUUAAACUUGAAAGAUGAACCAUAAAGUAAGGAAAAAACUGUUCUGUAAUUAUGGUUAAGAAACGUUUUUUGUGUGCAAAGUGCUUGUUAUUGAAGAAUGUUUGCCAUUUCCUUUGAUGCUGUGUGGAAAGCUAACAUAUUUGAAUGUUUUUAUUCAUCAGGAGGAAUUCAGUUUUGCUGAAAUCAGAGAACACUGAAAUCAGGGACAGCUAUCUUCCAGGGGUCCAACACACAUUUGUGUGUUCCCAACAACUCCAAAANAGUGCCCAAAGAAACACAGCAUCAUCUGAGAGAAUGGUAAUUGAAUUGGAAAAGUUAGCUUCAAC
rnacentral:lncRNA from 1 species